AUUGGACGCUGGCGGCAUGCUUUACACAUGCAAGUCGAACGGUAACGGGCCGCAAGGUGCUGACGAGUGGCGAACGGGUGAGUAAUGCAUCGGAACGUGCCCAGUCGUGGGGGAUAACUACUCGAAAGAGUAGCUAAUACCGCAUACGAUCUAUGGAUGAAAGCGGGGGACCGUAAGGCCUCGCGCGAUUGGAGCGGCCGAUGUCAGAUUAGGUAGUUGGUGGGGUAAAGGCUCACCAAGCCAACGAUCUGUAGCUGGUCUGAGAGGACGACCGGCCACACUGGGACUGAGACACGGCCCAGACUCCUACGGGAGGCAGCAGUGGGGAAUUUUGGACAAUGGGCGCAAGCCUGAUCCAGCAAUGCCGCGUGCAGGAAGAAGGCCUUCGGGUUGUAAACUGCUUUUGUACGGAACGAAACGGCUCUGGUUAAUACCCGGGGCUAAUGACGGUACCGUAAGAAUAAGCACCGGCUAACUACGUG
rnacentral:rRNA from 1 species